UACGGAGGGUGCAAGCGUUAAUCGGAUUUAUUGGGCGUAAAGGGCGCGUAGGCUGGCGAAUAAGUCAGAUGUGAAAUUCUGAGGCUCAACCUCAGAGCUGCAUUUGAAACUAUUUGUCUAGAGGGUAGGCGGAGAAAACGGAAUUCCACAAGUAGCGGUGAAAUGCGUAGAUAUGUGGAAGAACACCGGUGGCGAAGGCGGUUUUCUAGCUUACUCCUGACGCUGAGGCGCGAAAGUUAGGGGAUCAAAC
rnacentral:rRNA from 1 species